GAGAGUAUAGCUCAAGUGGUAGAGUGCUUGCUUAGCGUGCAUGAGGUCCUGGGUUGAAUCCCCAGUACGUACU
rnacentral:tRNA from 1 species